AUCAGACUAGGGUUCAGCAAAUCAAAGCUCUGAUACCUGAUCAUCACGACUCGGGCCAAAGUCCACAACUUGAUCAAGAAGGUGUAAUAUGACAACAAAGGAAUGGCCGAAUCAGGUUGAUCCAACUAAUGUAAAUUUUACCCACCCAUCA